rnacentral:rRNA from 1 species
CCUACGGGAGGCAGCAGUGGGGGAUAUUGCACAAUGGGCGAAACCCUGAUGCAGCGACGCCGCGUGUGGGAAGACGGUCCUCUGGAUUGUAAACCACUGUCCCCAGGGACGAAAAUGACGGUACCUGGGGAGGAAGCUCCGGCCAACUACGUUCCAGCAGCCGCGGUAAUACGGAGGGAGCGAGUGUUGUCCGGAAUUACUGGGUGUAAAGGGAGCGUAGGCGGGACUGCAAGUUGGGGGUAAAAUCUACCGGCUCAACCGGUAGCCGCACUCAACACUGGAGUUUUUGAGUGAAGUAGAGGCAGGCGGAAUUCCUAGUGUAGCGGUGAAAUGCGUAGAUAUGAGGAGGAACACCAGUGGCGAAGGCGGCCUGCUGGGCUUUUACUGACGCUGAGGCUCGAAAGUGUGGGGAGCAAACAGGAUUAGAUACCCUUGUAGUC